rnacentral:rRNA from 1 species
GCAUAUCAAUAAGCGGAGGAAAAGAAACCAACAGGGAUUACCUCAGUAACGGCGAGUGAAGCGGUAACAGCUCAAAUUUGAAAGCUAGCUCUUUUAGGGUUCGCAUUGUAAUUUGUAGAAGAUGCUUCGGGUGUGGCCCCGGUCUAAGUUCCUUGGAACAGGACGUCAUAGAGGGUGAGAAUCCCGUAUGUGACUGGGUGCUUUCGCUCAUGUGAAGCUCUUUCGACGAGUCGAGUUGUUUGGGAAUGCAGCUCAAAAUGGGUGGUAAAUUUCAUCUAAAGCUAAAUAUUGGCCAGAGACCGAUAGCGCACAAGUAGAGUGAUCGAAAGAUGAAAAGCACUUUGGAAAGAGAGUUAAACAGUACGUGAAAUUGUUGAAAGGGAAGCGCUUGCAACCAGACUUGCGCGCUGAUGAUCAUCCGGGCUUCUGCCCGGUGCACUCGUCUGCGCUCAGGCCAGCAUCGGUUUCGGUGGUGGGAUAAAGGCCUUGGGAAUGUAGCUUCUUUCGGGGAGUGUUAUAGCCCUCGGUGCAAUGCCGCCUACCGGGACCGAGGACCGCGCUUCGGCUAGGAUGCUGGCGUAAUGGUUGUAAGCGACCCGUCUUGAAACACGGACCAAGGAGUCUAACAUCUAUGCGAGUGUUUGGGUGUCAAACCCAUACGCGUAAUGAAAGUGAACGGAGGUGAGAACCCUUAAGGGUGCAUCAUCGACCGAUCCUGAUGUCUUCGGAUGGAUUUGAGUAAGAGCAUAGCUGUUGGGACCCGAAAGAUGGUGAACUAUGCGUGAAUAGGGUGAAGCCAGAGGAAACUCUGGUGGAGGCUCGCAGCGGUUCUGACGUGCAAAUCGAUCGUCAAAUUUGCGUAUAGGGGGCGAAAGACUAAUCGAACCAUCUAGUAGCUGGUUUCCUGCCGAAGUUCCCCUCAG